ensembl:snRNA U6 U6 spliceosomal RNA
GCGCUUGUUUCAAUAGCACAAAUACUAAAAUUGGAACAAUACAGAGAAGAUUAGCAUAGAUCCUCCACAACGAUGACACUAAUUUGUGCAGCAUUUCAUAUUAAA